rnacentral:rRNA from 1 species
UGCCAGCCGCCGCGGUAAUACGGAGGGUGCAAGCGUUGUUCGGAAUUAUUGGGCGUAAAGCGCACGUAGGCGGCUUGUCAAGUGCGGAGUGAAAGCCCACGGCUUACCCGUGGAAUUGCUUUGCAUACUGGCAGGCUCGAGGACGGUAGAGGAGAGCGGAACUCUUGGUGGAGCGGUGAAAUGCGUAGAUAUCAAGAGGAACACCAAAGGCGAAGGCAGCUCUCUGGUCCGUUUCUGACGCUGAGGUGCGAAAGCCAGGGUAGCGAACGGGAUUAGAUA